AUUCUGUACACUCACUUUUUGAAUUCUUGUCUAAUAGGGUUGUUUCCAUCUACAAAUCUUAGGGUAGAAUUGUAUCCCAAUAAAUUCUUUUGGAUUAUAAGAACAUGUUAAACUACUUUUAGGGGACCUGUAAUGACCAUAUUUUUGUAAAUAUUGAAUUUAAAAUAUCUUUUGGCACACAUCACGUGACCAAAUUCUAAACGUCUUUGAAGAUUCUGAUGACGUCACAACCCUCGGAUUGACACUGUUGACAGUUAGGCGAUAAACAACAAACGACAAAUGUCAGUUGACAGCUCGUAUCUUCUACGUGUGUAUGUAGUUACGUGUCAAACCGUAAACUGUGACGUCACACAAUUUUCAAAGAGCGUUUUGGGCGCGAAAGCAUCCGUCAAAAUAUAUUUUGUUAAUUUAACAUAUUUAAAGCCGUUUUUAGUAUAAAAGUUGAAUGUUAGGGCAACUUUUAGUUAAUAUAGAACGUAAUACAAGCGUUUCAAAAAAUUAGAAAACAACCCUAUUAUUUAGAAUGAAAACAGUCAAAAUUGCAUUCCCGCGCGUAUUUGCAAACAAAUGACAACAAGGCGCGCACCGCAUUCGUCGAGCGGGCUAGGCGCCAAGCGCGCCGCUCCAAUUUUACGUAUUUCUUCAUAGAACAUUUUCUGUUUCACGUGCGGAACUGUGGCGAAACUUCUCUAUCGCUCUUAUGGAUUUUCCUAUUGAUUCAAUGUACCUACUAAAUAUUUUUUCAUAGGAGAGCAAUCCAAAGCGCUCCGCUUCGCGCGUUACGUAUGAAAUUAUAGCAGUAGGCGAGAAAUCAUAUGUUAAUGAAUAAUAAUUACUUAUUUAACUAUUAUUGACUUGUUUACGAUAGAAACAUUAAUUACGAAUAAGUAGUAUUUAUUACAUUGAUUAGGUACUAUAAUUUCAUUAUGAUUAUUUAUGGGAGUACACUGCACAAGCGCUCCUUAAGGCGGGCCGCUACCGAUUCUAGGUACUCGUAUUGUAGCGCCACCUAUUUAUGGUUUUUUGUCGGACACUUUUUGGUCUAUGGAUGGUCUAUGGAGAUUCUGUUCCUUAAAUCUACCCUUCCAUAGUUUUUAUGUACGAAUAACAAUGUGUAACGGUUGCUGUGGCCAUGUCGAUAAACUAUCGAUAUUUCUUACAAUUUUAAUUUUACUUGAAAGGAUUAGUUAUAGAAAAUAUUUAAAAGUGGAAAAACGGUUUCUCUUUUUGUAUGGACGAUCACGUGCGCAAGCUCAACAGUUAUCAGUAAUUUUAGCGAAUAAGGCACAGCACAGACUUCACUAACGCUUCGCCAAGACCCUUGAAGUGUGCAAAAGGGAAGCCAUCCAGCCCAGAUCUCAGAAGGCCAUUCUAAUAAUGAGAACAUAAUUGAUAAUACAAAUUUUCUUGUAAGUAAAUAUAGGUAGCGACAGAAGUUCAAGAAAUGAUAUCCCACCGUCUCCGAAAAUAAAAUGAAAUAACAAAUCUCUCUGAAAAUACAGCUCAUUUGGUCAAAAAUGCAAGAAAUUAUUUAAUUUUUGCAUAAAAGAUGACUCAUGUUAAACCGGCCCAGCCCCGGGCCGGGGCGUCCCACACUUGGUUUUCCAUAGAAAGAUCACCGAUCACCUGAUUUCUGAUCUCACCUGUCAUCCAUGGGAUGUAUGGGCGACGAAUCAUAAUUCGUGUCACCUGUUAGUGUUUGAUCCUUUCGCAUUUUCUGAAAGGUGAGCUGGAAGAGAUCGCUUUUAGGGAUAAGUUCGCCUUUGUACAUAACAUUUUUUUACCUGUUUUGUAUUAUCUGUUUUAUGUUUACCUGUUUAUGUGCAAUAAAGUGACAUUCAUACAUACAUACAUA